UACGUAGGGGGCGAGCGUUGUCCGGAUUUACUGGGCGUAAAGGGUGAGUAGGCGGUUGUAUAUGUCAGGUGUAAAAGGCUAUGGCUUAACCAUGGUUAGCACUUGAAACUGUAUUUCUUGAGUGAUGGAGAGGCAAGUGGAAUUCCUAGUGUAGCGGUGAAAUGCGUAGAUAUUAGGAGGAACACCAGUGGCGAAGGCGACUUGCUGGACAUUAACUGACGCUGAGAAGCGAAAGCAUGGGGAGCGAACAGGAUUAGAUACCCCGGUAGU
rnacentral:rRNA from 1 species